rnacentral:lncRNA from 10 species
CAGAGGGUGGAGCGGGUCUGGUUCAGGGAGGAGAGCUGGGAGUAAAGGCAGGCCAGGGGCUGCGAGGUGGGUGGAGGAAAGGAAGACAGGAGGGAGGAGAGCGGGGCAUGGAGGAUAGCUUUGCCAGCCUAGCCCACCAGUCCCGGCCUCUAAGAGCAGGCUGGCAGAGCCCCAAGAGCCUAUACCACGGAAGGGCCCCAUGGGAAUCCCCUCACUCUCUGGGUGCCUGAGUUUGCAGAUAUCUGUUUGCCAAAGGAUGAGGGAAGGAACAGGAAGGAACGUGCCGGCAGGACUGGAAAAUCCAGCUGGGCAGGAGAUAGCUGUGGCUGCACCUCGCACUGGAGGCUGAAGCUUUGCUUGGCUCUGCCCCUGUGUCACGUGUCAGGGUUUUGGGAACCGGAGGCAGGCGGACAGCCCCAGGAGUCAUAAUGAGAAGAAAUGCUACCUCGGUACAGUGGACGAACGUGCAAACCACACAGAAAGUUUGAAAAAGGUCUACUGGAGGCUCUGCUUUCUGUCUCACAGUGACAGGUGUGUAAAGCAUGAGGUGACCUUGGGCAAGUUGUUCAACCUCAGUGUUAUCACCUGUAGAACGGAGAAAACAAGACUACAUACUUUGGAGGUGAGGACGCUGUAGGAAGUCAUCUGCGAAGCGGAGAGUGCACCUUUACCAGACGCGGAGUCUGCUGGCGCCUUGAUCUCGGACUUUGCAGCUUCCAGAACCGUAAGCAACACAUUUCUGUUGUUUAUAAAUCAUCCAGUCUAAUGUAUUUUGUUAUAGCAGUCCAAACAGACGAAGACAAUGAGUUAUCUCUAACUCCCCUAAGCAGGCUGUUUUGGUAUUUUUUACUUUAAUUCCUAGCCACAUUUUACAUACUGGUCUAUGGUCUCACAACAGAAGUGGCGGUGCCCUCAUUUGAACUCUGGUUGCCACUUUUCUGCCUCUUUUCCAGGAGUGAUGCACAGGCCACCUCUUCUGUGACCUCGAGGGCUCAGGAUUCCUCAUGUCCUGAGGCUGGUGCGUUUGAGGACGUAUGGCCUAGGCAAGCCAUGAGCUGGCAGGGCCCCAGAGCUGCCUCAUGCAUAAAACACAGUUCCAGUUAUGAGUUUUGUUUUCUACCAAGCCCCGUGUUGAAACAAUUAUCUAAAAUCGCGCAUGCCCUUUCUUUCAUGAUCCUUCAGAAGCACACCACAAGACCAUGAAAACUCAGGCAGAUUGACAGGUGUGUCGCUUUACGGAUGUGCCUGGAAGGACCCUCUCCCCAGAGGUCAGCCCUGCGGAGGUGUAUACUGUGGUGGCAGCCACUCCUCUUCAGCAGGGAAAACCAUCAUGUCUUCAAGCACCUUUGGGUUUCUUGUCAGUCAGUGGGGAAAGGGAUUCCCAGCAGGUCCCCAGGAGCAUUUGCAGCUCGGACCCAUCACCUUUUCUUCUCUUUGCUCUUCUGUUAGUGCUGGGUUGCCGUCCAUUUCCCUGUCAGUGGAGGCUGAUAUUAGAUAAAUACCGGCUGUCACCGGUGGGCUCGGCCCAGGUUUUCUACCCCUGACUACAUCCUUUCAACAGGUGUCUGGUGACACAGAGCCCAUGUGGUCCUGUCUGCCUCACAGAUGUUAGGUUCCAGCCAAAAAAAAAAAAAAAAACAAACAAAAACCACAACCCUAGGGUGGAAAAGAAGUGUCCAGAUUUUACUGAAAAUGAGGCUUUCUAGGGCUGCUGACUAAGGCGUUUUCUUUCCAAACAUCUGAAACAGCAAACAGAUUGUAAAUUAAGAGGGAGUUACAAGAUAGUAGCUGAAGGGAAGCAAUACCUGCCUGUCUUCUGGGUUGUAGCUGUUGCUGCAUGGCCAGGACAGCAGUGGCCAGGAAAGGUGAUUAAAUAGGGUGGGGGAGAAGGGAUCACCGUGGAACAGGGGUGCCGAGACAGAUAUUAGGUUAACGGGAAGUGAGUUCAGGCCUCUUCUUUGAGCCAAGGGAGAACAUUUUAUCUGACAAGAGCUUGAACUGACCCGUGCCAUUCUCUGAUUCCCACCCAGAUCAAAGUUCAGACUCCCAAGGCAACUCAGCAGAAAUAAAGUGAAAUAAAUUGCAACCCCACUCCCCUGAUGCUUCCUAGGACUAAAGUGUUCUAUGAGGAGUUGGACAGUCCUUAGGCAAGACUUCUCU